AGAGUUUGAUCCUGGCUCAGAACGAACGCUGGCGGCGCGCCUAACACAUGCAAGUCGGACGCACUCAGCAAUGGGUGAGUGGCGGACGGGUGAGUAACACGUGGGAACCUGCCCUGGGGUCUGGGAUAACUGCGGGAAACUGCAGGUAACACCGGAUGUGCCCUUUGGGGGAAAGUUUACGCCCUGGGAUGGGCCCGCGUCGGAUUAGGUAGUUGGUGGGGUAAUGGCCUACCAAGCCUUCGAUCCGUAACCGGUCUGAGAGGAUGAUCGGUCACACUGGGACUGAGACACGGCCCAGACUCCUACGGGAGGCAGCAGUGGGGAAUCUUGGACAAUGGGGGCAACCCUGAUCCAGCGACGCCGCGUGGGUGAUGAAGGCCUUCGGGUCGUAAAGCCCUUUUGCCGGGGAAGAUGAUGACGGUACCCGGAGAAGAAGCACCGGCUAACUCUGUGCCAGCAGCCGCGGUAAGACAGAGGGUGCUAGCGUUGUUCGGAAUUACUGGGCGUAAAGGGCGCGUAGGCGGCUCGUUUAGUCGGGUGUGAAAUCCCAAGGCUCAACCUUGGAACUGCAUUCGAUACUGGCGGGCUAGAGACCGGAAGAGGUGGGUGGAAUACCCAGUGUAGAGGUGAAAUUCGUAGAUAUUGGGUGGAACACCGGUGGCGAAGGCGGCUCACUGGUCCGGUUCUGACGCUGAGGCGCGAAAGCGUGGGGAGCAAACAGGAUUAGAUACCCUAGUAGUCC
rnacentral:rRNA from 1 species